rnacentral:misc_RNA from 1 species
GAUGAAGAACGCAGCGAAAUGCGAUAACUAAUGUGAAUUGCAGAAUUCCGUGAAUCAUCGAGUCUUUGAACGCACAUUGCGCCCCCUGGUAUUCCGGGGGGCAUGCCUGUCCGAGCGUCAUUGCAACCCUCAAGCACGGCUUGUCUAAUGGGCGGUUCGUCUGCGGCCAUCCGCCGGAGACGCCCCCGAAAUGCAGUGGGGAUGUUCGCUAAAUCGCAGCGUCAGGAAUGGAAAUAAACAAUGCUGACGGCUCGAUGUCGAACGUCCACCUAAGGCGUGCCGACCCCCGGGGUGUGCCGCCCAACCUCUCUCGGUUGACCUCGGAUCAGGUAGGGAUACCCGCUGAACUUAAGCAUAUCAAUAAGCGGAGGA